rnacentral:misc_RNA from 1 species
UAAUAAGUGUUUUAUGGCACUUUUUAAAUCCAUAUCCACCUUGUGUGCAAUGUCAGUCGAUCUUCUUUCAUGGAGAUCGACCAAACAUCAACCUUUAUUUUUAACACUUUGUCUGAAAAAUAUUAUGAAUAAACAAUUCAAAUA